UAACGACUCUCGGCAACGGAUAUCUCGGCUCUCGCAUCGAUGAAGAACGUAGCGAACUGCGAUACUUGGUGUGAAUUGCAAAAUCCCGUGAAUCAUCGAGUCUUUGAACGCAAGUUGCGCCCGAAGCCAUCUUUUUGGAUGAGGGCACGUUUGCCUGGGUGUCA
rnacentral:rRNA from 1 species